UACGUAGGGUGCGAGCGUUAAUCGGAAUUACUGGGCGUAAAGCGUGCGCAGGCGGUGAUGUAAGACAGAUGUGAAAUCCCCGGGCUCAACCUGGGAACUGCAUUUGUGACUGCAUCGCUGGAGUGCGGCAGAGGGGGAUGGAAUUCCGCGUGUAGCAGUGAAAUGCGUAGAUAUGCGGAGGAACACCGAUGGCGAAGGCAAUCCCCUGGGCCUGCACUGACGCUCAUGCACGAAAGCGUGGGGAGCAAACAGGAUUAGAAACCCUGGUAGUCC
rnacentral:rRNA from 1 species